rnacentral:tRNA from 19 species
UGCGGGGUGGAGCAGUUCGGUAGCUCGUCGGGCUCAUAACCCGAAGGUCAUAGGUUCAAAUCCUGUCCCCGCUACCA